rnacentral:rRNA from 1 species
GAUGAACGCUGGCGGCGUGCUUAACACAUGCAAGUCGAACGAAGCAUUUGCGACAGAUUUUUUCGGAAUGAAGUUGCUUAUGACUGAGUGGCGGACGGGUGAGUAACGCGUGGGUAACCUGCCUUGUACUGGGGGAUAGCAGCUGGAAACGGCUGGUAAUACCGCAUAAGCGCACAAUGUUGCAUGACAUGGUGUGAAAAACUCCGGUGGUAUAAGAUGGACCCGCGUCUGAUUAGCUAGUUGGUGAGAUAACAGCACACCAAGGCGACGAUCAGUAGCCGACCUGAGAGGGUGACCGGACACAUUGGGACUGAGACACGGCCCAGACUCCUACGGGAGGCAGCAGUGGGGAAUAUUGCACAAUGGAGGAAACUCUGAUGCAGCGACGCCGCGUGAAUGAAGAAGUAAUUCGUUAUGUAAAGCUCUAUCAGCAGGGAAGAUAGUGACGGUACCUGACUAAGAAGCCCCGGCUAACUACGCG